UCGAUGUUGAUAUUCAGAGUUGUGGCUGGUUCACUCCUCUGGAUAUCAUUAGUGGCCUUAUGGAAGCUCAUGCACUUUAAUUAGUGCAAAUGAAGUUAUUCCUUGCCACAAUGUCGUAUAACAUCUCUGUUCCCGACCUUGGCCUCUGGUCAAGGUUGGUGUGGACGAGGACUGCAUACUCCAUAAACAUUCCAUAGCCUCUUCAGGCAGUUACUGGGGUGACAAACCAUGCAUGAUACAAAU
rfam:Helobdella robusta unplaced genomic scaffold HELROscaffold_7, whole genome shotgun sequence.